AACGCUGGCGGCGUGCCUAAUACAUGCAAGUCGAGCGAACAGACGAGGAGCUUGCUCCUCUGACGUUAGCGGCGGACGGGUGAGUAACACGUGGAUAACCUACCUAUAAGACUGGGAUAACUUCGGGAAACCGGAGCUAAUACCGGAUAAUAUAUUGAACCGCAUGGUUCAAUAGUGAAAGACGGUUUUGCUGUCACUUAUAGAUGGAUCCGCGCCGCAUUAGCUAGUUGGUAAGGUAACGGCUUACCAAGGCGACGAUGCGUAGCCAACCUGAGAGGGGGAUCGGCCACACUGGAACUGAGACACGGUCCAGACUCCUACGGGAGGCAGCAGUAGGGAAUCUUCCGCAAUGGGCGAAAGCCUGACGGAGCAACGCCGCGUGAGUGAUGAAGGUCUUCGGAUCGUAAAACUCUGUUAUUAGGGAAGAACAAAUGUGUAAGUAACUAUGCACGUCUUGACGGUACCUAAUCAGAAAGCCACGGCUAACUACGUGCCAGCAGCCGCGGUAAUACGUAGGUGGCAAGCGUUAUCCGGAAUUAUUGGGCGUAAAGCGCGCGUAGGCGGUUUUUUAAGUCUGAUGUGAAAGCCCACGGCUCAACCGUGGAGGGUCAUUGGAAACUGGAAAACUUGAGUGCAGAAGAGGAAAGUGGAAUUCCAUGUGUAGCGGUGAAAUGCGCAGAGAUAUGGAGGAACACCAGUGGCGAAGGCGACUUUCUGGUCUGUAACUGACGCUGAUGUGCGAAA
rnacentral:rRNA from 1 species